rnacentral:rRNA from 1 species
AGUUUGAUCCUGGCUCAGGAUGAACGCUAGCGGCAGGCUUAACACAUGCAAGUCGAGGGGUAUAGUUUUUCGGAACUAGAGACCGGCGCACGGGUGCGUAACGCGUAUGCAAUCUACCUUUCACAAAGGGAUAGCCCAGAGAAAUUUGGAUUAAUACCUCAUAGCAUAGCAGCUUCGCAUGAAGCCACUAUUAAAGUCACAACGGUAAAAGAUGAGCAUGCGUCCCAUUAGCUAGUUGGUAAGGUAACGGCUUACCAAGGCAACGAUGGGUAGGGGUCCUGAGAGGGAGAUCCCCCACACUGGUACUGAGACACGGACCAGACUCCUACGGGAGGCAGCAGUGAGGAAUAUUGGACAAUGGGCGCAAGCCUGAUCCAGCCAUGCCGCGUGCAGGGUGACGGUCCUAUGGAUUGUAAACUGCUUUUGCACAGGAAGAAACAACAUUACGUGUAAUGUCUUGACGGUACUGUGAGAAUAAGGAUCGGCUAACUCCGUGCCAGCAGCCGCGGUAAUACGGAGGAUCCAAGCGUUAUCCGGAAUCAUUGGGUUUAAAGGGUCCGUAGGCGGUUUAGUAAGUCAGUGGUGAAAGCCCAUCGCUCAACGGUGGAACGGCCAUUGAUACUGCUAGACUUGAAUUAUUAGGAAGUAACUAGAAUAUGUAGUGUAGCGGUGAAAUGCUUAGAGAUUACAUGGAAUACCAAUUGCGAAGGCAGGUUACUACUAAUGGAUUGACGCUGAUGGACGAAAGCGUGGGUAGCGAACAGGAUUAGAUACCCUGGUAGA